rnacentral:rRNA from 1 species
UACGUAGGGUGCAAGCGUUGUCCGGAAUUAUUGGGCGUAAAGAGCGUGUAGGCGGCCCGAUUAGUCCGCUGUGAAAGUCGGGGGCUCAACCCUCGGAUGCCGGUGGAUACUGUCGGGCUUGAGUACGGAAGAGGCGAGUGGAAUUCCUGGUGUAGCGGUGAAAUGCGCAGAUAUCAGGAGGAACACCAAUUGCGAAGGCAGCUCGCUGGGACGUUACUGACGCUGAGACGCGAAAGCGUGGGGAGCAAACAGG